rnacentral:rRNA from 1 species
GACGAACGCUGGCGGCGUGCUUAACACAUGCAAGUCGAGCGGUAAGGCCCUUUCGGGGGUACACGAGCGGCGAACGGGUGAGUAACACGUGGGUGACCUGCCCUCAGCUCUGGGAUAAGCCUGGGAAACCGGGUCUAAUACUGGAUAUGACUCCAUGACGCAUGUUGUGGGGUGGAAAGCCUUGUGCGGCUGAGGAUGGGCCCGCGGCCUAUCAGCUUGUUGGUGGGGUGANGGCCUACCAAGGCGACGACGGGUAGCCGGCCUGAGAGGGCGACCGGCCACACUGGGACUGAGACACGGCCCAGACUCCUACGGGAGGCAGCAGUGGGGAAUCUUGCGCAAUGGGUGAAAGCCUGACGCAGCGACGCCGCGUGUGGGAUGACGGCCUCGG